rnacentral:lncRNA from 1 species
UAUGUGUUAAUUCAAUUGCAGAUAUACUUCACAUUAUAAUCAAAUUGUAAAAAAAAAAUGUGGAGACAACUUUUACUUAAAAGUUAAGCAAUACAUUUUUUUCCAACUGCAUUCAUUAGAAACGGAGCCCUAGACCAAACUAGUAUAAAUGAUACAAAGAUUAGAUAGUAGUACAAGAUUCCAAUUUACACACACUUACAAUGAUAAAGAUAGAAAAAUAAAAUUAAAGUUAGCUUGAAACUAUAGACUAGAUAUCAUCUGUCUCCACUAAACUAAUCAUGUAGAAAGAAAUCAAAACUAAAAGAAAAUAAAACAUGCAUCAAAUGGAAAGAAAAAAAAAACUUUUAAAAUUGAUAAUCUAAAAGAGGCAGGAACUUGCCCCACCUAUAUUUUGUUUGUUUGGCCCUAUCUAUUAAUCUUUUUCCUCAAUGCAAUCACAUUUCUAAUAGUCAUGCUCCAUGUGGUGAGAAAUUACUAACUAUGAAAUUUAAUUUCAAUCAAAUUAGUCCAUGUUAAAUUCUUCUUUAUAGGAAAAUCAUUCUCAGCACAAUUGGCUUAUUUAUAUGAACAUAUAACAUAUUGCAAUACAAUACUAAUUUAAUGUACAAAAAUCAAUUUAAGGCAAUGACAUUUCACACCAAGUACUCUUAAUAGUUAAUAUUUACAUGUCAGAUAUCAAAUCCUUGAGGCUUAAAUAGCUCAAUUGAAAAAUGUAAAGAAAUUAUUUAAAUUUAAAUAAG